GGGAAGGAGCCCAUAGUUAGAGAUUGGCGAGUAUCGAAAUCUCUCUUCUCUUAGACUCAAAGUCCUCUGGCUCACAGCCUCUCAGCCCUGCAGCAUUGUGGAUGUGGAGUUCCUUCCUGUGUAUCACCCCAGCCCUGAGGAGAGCAGGGACCCCACCCUCUAUGCCAACAAUGUUCAGAGGGUCAUGGCACAGGCUCUGGGCAUUCCAGCCACCGAAUGUGAGUUUGUAGGGAGCUUACCUGUGAUUGUGGUGGGCCGGCUGAAGGUGGCGUUGGAGCCACAGCUCUGGGAACUGGGAAAAGUGCUUCGGAAGGCUGGGCUGUCCCCUGGCUAUGUGGACGCUGGGGCAGAGCCAGGCCGGAGUCGAAUGAUCAGCCAGGAAGAGUUUGCCAGGCAGCUACAGCUCUCUGAUCCUCAGACGGUGGCUGGUGCCUUUGGCUACUUCCAGCAGGUAAAGGAGCUGGAACAAAGAGCAGAGCAGAACCCAGGCUUCCCUCCAGGCUGACAUGUUCCUAGUGGCCGUAUCAGUCACUCACAGUUUGGAGUCCUCAGUGGAUGUUCUCACAGCUGUUGUUAGAUGGCCAUCCCCUGAGAUCCACUGAAGAUUCAUUUUUUAAUCAAGCAUCCAGUGCAUUGAAGAGCAAUGUUAUCAUCACAAGGAGGAACAAGGGAGAAAUAAUCAGUGAGGACUAUAAAUUUCUGAAACCACUUUAGAGAGUGGCAAAGGUGGGGAAUCAUAAGACCUUUUGGGAUGCUGGGUGAGGGUCUUUGAAGGAGAGUCAUGAAGGUUACGUGGGAAGAUGACAUGUAGAAGAAACAACACCGGACAGUUAGAUGGUUGAGAGCUUGAGACCCAGAUAUAUCUGUAGGACUUGGGCAGAUUAUUUUAAAUAUCCUAUAGCUUCUCUAGAGGAAUUUUCUCAAGAUUCUUAGCAAGCC
rnacentral:sRNA from 1 species